ACUUUGGAUACUCGACUUUCAUCCUUGCUUCCGUUUCCCAAGUGAUGAGGUCUUUACCAUUGUAAUCCCACACCACUUUAAUCAUGGGAACCGUCUUCUUUCUCAUUGCCUUCUCUGACCGAUCUACGAUACGAACCAGCCUUGUUUCUAAGGUUAGGUUCUUACCCAAAUCAGCCUCAGGCAAAACAAUGUCUUGAUCCGUCAAGCACUUCCGGAGUUGGAAUACAUGGAAUACAUUAUGAUAUGCAUCCAUUGCCGAUGGCAAGUUCAACUUGUAUGCCACUGCACCCACCCUCUCUAUGAUCCUAAACGGACCUAAGUAUCUAGGAUC
rnacentral:lncRNA from 1 species